CAAUAGCGUAUAUUAAAGUUGUUGCAGUUAAAAAGCUCAUAGUUGGAUUUGUGGUGUACUUCGGCGGCCUGUCACUAUGUGAUGGAGCUUGCUGAAGUCGCCAUCCUUGGGUGGAUCCUGUGUGGCAUUAAGUUGUCGUGCAGGGGAUGCCCAUCGUUUACUGUGAAAAAAUUAGAGUGUUCAAAGCAGGCUUAUGCCGUUGAAUAUAUUAGCAUGGAAUAAUAAGAUAGGACCUUGGUACUAUUUUGUUGGUUUGCGCACCAAGGUAAUGAUUAAUAGGGACAGUUGGGGGUAUUCGUAUUUCAUUGUCAGAGGUGAAAUUCUUGGAUUUUUGAAAGACGAACUACUGCGAAAGCAUUUACCAAGGAUGUUUNGAUUA
rnacentral:rRNA from 1 species